rnacentral:rRNA from 1 species
AACGAACGCUGGCGGCAGGCUUAACACAUGCAAGUCGCGCGAAGACUUCGGUCUUAGCGGCGGACGGGUGAGUAACGCGUGGGAACGUGCCCUUUGGUUCGGAAUAGCCCCGGGAAACUGGGAUUAAUACCGGAUACGCCCUUCGGGGGAAAGAUUUAUCGCCAAGGGAUCGGCCCGCGUCUGAUUAGAUAGUUGGUGGGGUAAUGGCCUACCAAGUCUACGAUCAGUAGCUGGUCUGAGAGGAUGACCAGCCACACUGGGACUGAGACACGGCCCAGACUCCUACGGGAGGCAGCAGUGGGGAAUCUUGGACAAUGGGCGCAAGCCUGAUCCAGCCAUGCCGCGUGAACGAUGAAGGCCUUAGGGUGUAAAGUUCUUUCGCUGGUGACGAUAAUGACGGUAACCAGAGAAGAAGCCCCGGCUAACUCCGUGCCAGCAGCCGCGGUAA